GAUGAACGCUGGCGGCGUGCCUAAUACAUGCAAGUCGAGCGAACGGACGAGAAGCUUGCUUCUCUGAUGUUAGCGGCGGACGGGUGAGUAACACGUGGAUAACCUACCUAUAAGACUGGGAUAACUUCGGGAAACCGUAGCUAAUACCGGAUAAUAUUUUGAACCGCAUGGUUCAAAAGUGAAAGACGGUCUUGCUGUCACUUAUAGAUGGUUCCGCGCUGCAUUAGCUAGUUGGUAAGGUAACGGCUUACCAAGGCAACGAUGCAUAGCCGACCUGAGAGGGUGAUCGGCCACACUGGAACUGAGACACGGUCCAGACUCCUACGGGAGGCAGCAGUAGGGAAUCUUCCGCAAUGGGCGAAAGCCUGACGGAGCAACGCCGCGUGAGUGAUGAAGGUCUUCGGAUCGUAAAACUCUGUUAUUAGGGAAGAACAUAUGUGUAAGUAACUGUGCACGUCUUGACGGUACCUAAUCAGAAAGCCACGGCUAACUACGUG
rnacentral:rRNA from 1 species